UGCCAGCCGCCGCGGUAAUACAUAGGGUGCAAGCGUAGUUCGGAAUUACUGGGCUUAAAGAGUUCGUAGGUGGUUGAAAAAGUUAGUGGUGAAAUCCCAGAGCUUAACUCUGGAACUGCCAUUAAAACUUUUCAGCUAGAGUAUGAUAGAGGAAAGCAGAAUUUCUAGUGUAGAGGUGAAAUUCGUAGAUAUUAGAAAGAAUACCAAUUGCGAAGGCAGCUUUCUGGAUCAUUACUGACACUGAGGUACGAAAGCAUGGGUAGCGAAGAGGAUUAGAUA
rnacentral:rRNA from 1 species